AUUGAACGCUGGCGGCAGGCCUAACACAUGCAAGUCGAGCGAGCGGCGGACGGGUGAGUAAUGUCUGGGAAACUGCCUGAUGGAGGGGGAUAACUACUGGAAACGGUAGCUAAUACCGCAUACCAUCAGAUGUGCCCAGAUGGGAUUAGCUAGUAGGUGGGGUAAUGGGUCACCUAGGCGACGAUCCCUAGCUGGUCUGAGAGGAGGACCAGCCACACUGGAACGGAGACACGGUCCAGACUCCUACGGGAGGCAGCGGUGGGGAAUAUUGCACAGUGGACGCAAGCCUGAUACAGCCAUGCCGCGUGUAUGAAGAAGGCCUUCGGGUUGUAAAAUACUUUCAGCGAGGAGGCGUUACUCACAGAAGAAGCACCGGCUAACUCCGUGCCAGCAGCCGCGGUAAUUC
rnacentral:rRNA from 1 species